rnacentral:rRNA from 1 species
UGGGGAAUAUUGCACAAUGGGCGAAAGCCUGAUGCAGCGACGCCGCGUGGAGGAUGAAGGUCUUCGGAUUGUAAACUCCUGUUGAGUGGGAAAAAAGGCCUGUACCUAAUACGUACGGGAGAUGAUGGUACCACUAGAGAAAGCACCGGCAAACUUCGUGCCAGCAGCCGCGGUAAUACGAAGGGUGCAAGCGUUAUUCGGAGUUACUGGGCGUAAAGAGCACGUAGGCGGUUUUUUAAGUCACUUGUUAAAUUUCCCAGCUUAACUGGGAGCAGGCGGGUGAAACUGGAAGACUAGAGUGUAAGAGAGAGAAGUGGAAUUCUCGGAGUAGCGGUAAAAUGCGUAGAUCUCGAGAGGAACACCGGAGGCGAAGGCGGCUUCUUGGCUUACAACUGACGCUCAAGUGCGAAAGCGUGGGGAGCAAACAGG